rnacentral:rRNA from 1 species
GAUGAACGCUGGCGGCGUGCCUAAUACAUGCAAGUCGAGCGAACAGACGAGGAGCUUGCUCCUCUGACGUUAGCGGCGGACGGGUGAGUAACACGUGGAUAACCUACCUAUAAGACUGGGAUAACUUCGGGAAACCGGAGCUAAUACCGGAUAAUAUAUUGAACCGCAUGGUUCAAUAGUGAAAGACGGUUUUGCUGUCACUUAUAGAUUGAUCCGCGCCGCAUUAGCUAUUUGGUUAGGUAACGGCUUACCAAGGCGACGAUGCGUAGCCGACCUGAGAGGGUGAUCGGCCACACUGGAACUGAGACACGGUCCAGACUCCUACGGGAGGCAGCAGUAGGGAAUCUUCCGCAAUGGGCGAAAGCCUGACGGAGCAACGCCGCGUGAGUGAUGAAGGUCUUCGGAUCGUAAAACUCUGUUAUUAGGGAAGAACAAAUGUGUAAGUAACUAUGCACGUCUUGACGGUACCUAAUCAGAAAGCCACGGCUAACUACGUG